rnacentral:rRNA from 1 species
UACGUAGGGUGCGAGCGUUAAUCGGAAUUACUGGGCGUAAAGCGUGCGCAGGCGGUUUUGUAAGCCAGAUGUGAAAUCCCCGGGCUUAACCUGGGAAUGGCAUUUGGGACUGCAAGGCUUGAGUGCGGCAGAGGAGACUGGAAUUCCUGGUGUAGCAGUGAAAUGCGUAGAUAUCGGGAAGAACACCCGUGGCGAAGGCGGCACUCUGGGACGGUACUGACGCUGAGACGCGAAAGCGUGGGGAGCGAACAGG